GCCACAGAAAAAAUAAUAAUAAUAAUCGUUGGCUUCUGAGAUUUGUUACAAGUCACUGAAAAUAGGAACUAUUCAUCAGGUCAGCAACAGGAAAGAUGAAAAGCUGAAAUACAUUUUAAAGUAAUGACAAUUUAAUACUUGUUACAUGUUAAGUUUUGUAAGGAACUAAAGGGCGAGUCCUUCUAACAGGUAACGGAAGUGUAGUGGAUAGAUGUCGAGGUGCCUGUGUCUUUAAGCCACAGCAACGGUGCUGUGCCGCACCUGUAUGACGUCACUAGAUGCGACUGAUUUGUAGCAAUUGUUAGCCUCGGAGCUCCUUUAAAAGCACGGCGCUGGCGAUGCUAAGGUAAGUGGCAGUUUUUGUUGGUUUACUCGUCUACUGUGUGUUUUCGUCCCGUUUGGGUUUUCUCCUGUGAGUCGGAGCCUGUAGAGGUCUGUUCCUUGACUGUAAAGGGUGCAGUUGUUGGAGUCCUGCUCCAGGAGUUUGUUGCUGCUUGUUUGCGCUUAUAGUGCGUAUAUCUCAACUGUGAGUGUUGUAAGCCUGAGGCUGUAUUGCAUCGGUUCCUGUGUGUAGCUCUCUUGGCUCUAGUAUGCCACUUGAUUCACUGUUACCUGCCCCCAUUAGGCUGUGUGGUCAGUUGACUGGGAGGUUUCCCCUAUUUUUUUUAAAAGAAGUUCCUCUGCAUCGCUGCUUGCGGUAUGUCGCUAUGUUAACGCUUAUCUCUUUUUUUUUUUUUUUUUAUCAGCCAGUUACCUAUGAGCUUAUAGGUGCCUCCGGUGUACUUUAUUUAGCAGGUGACUUCUGCUGCUGGUUUGCUGCUGUUGACUUCAAGCCAUUGGGACCGUCUGCUGACGGCAAGCUACUGUUUUGUUUCUAGCGAAUUUCUUUAUUGUUUUGUUUCUUUGGCACUGUGUACUCAGUUUUUUUUUGCAAUUGUUGCGUGCUGUGUACGAUUAGAUCAUCAGCGCGCUAGAAUGAUCAGAGCGGUAAUGUUUGUGCGAGUGUGUGUUUUUGUGGGUAGCUGGUAGCGUGUUUGUGUGUGCGUGUUGGUGUGUGGUGCCAGCGUGUGUUUGUGUGUGCAUGUGAGCAUGUUGGUUUAAUUUUGCUGGUAUAUGUUGUUUUUUUAUUUUAUUUUAUUUUUUUUGUUGUUCCUGAAUUUUUGUUCAUUUCUUUUUGUGUGUUCUGUUUCAGGAGCUGGGGGACGCCAGCAGGGAGGCUUGGCACCUGGUGGCUGGGUACCUGUGUCUGUGUGUGUUUCACCUUUCUGGCAGUGUGGUGUCACCUGGGUGUGCUGUGCAGUGUAUAUGUGUGCGCUUCACGUGUGGUCUUUUUGGACCCUCCUUCCAGAACGCCUCCCUGUGGCCUUUUCAACCAGAGCACUCCAGAACUCGCCUCCCUCCGCCGAGUGCACGAACAGCAGCUUCCCAUCUUUAACCGGCAGCCUGUCAUCAAUCACCACAUCAACCCAUUCACCAAACUGCCAGAACUACAGGAAGAGAGAGAACGAGACAGAGAGAGAUUAUCUCAAAUAUGGAGACAACAACCACCAGGUGGCAGAAUGUCAGUCAUUUGUGGAGUUACAGAACACAGACUGUACACGUACAUGCAUGCACAGGCACGUGCACGCGCACACACACACACACACACACACACACCUGCAUUUCCAUUCUAACCAAACCAGCACUCUUAUGAAUCUCAAUUAACUUUUAAAGUAUCCCCACAGAGGUGCAGUUCACUCAAACAGGAGACAAUUCAGAGCAGAAUUCAAACCAGCACUCGAGCACAGUGAAGCUAGUGGACUAUGUGAAGUGUGUGUGUGGGACAUUUUGCUUGCUUCUGGAACACUUAUGAGAUCUCACUGUCAGCAAGCUAAGCAGGAGUCACAAAUAACCUGAUACACUGUCACACUGAUCUCAUAAUGAAAUACCACGAUCUUGUCAUCUCUAAUCAGCUAUACUCAUCUCUCUCAGCAGGAUGUAUAUGCAGAGUUACGCUGUGUAUCUGGAAAGCUUCAUUCUGACCCUCACUCCUUACUGUACUCCUUCCUACUCCAUGCCAUGUCAUUAAAUCCUUUCUGCUCCAGUGCAUGUUGCUCCAGUGUUGCUUUAUAAUCUUAUUCUUUGGGUUUUGGUGUAUACCAAUAAAUAAAUAGAUUUGUGUGUUGUCAUGUGUGUUCUUCAUACUACACUACCUCCCCAACAGGGUUUUUAUACAGAUAGUACCCUUAGUCCCUGAACUAGUGAACCUGUAUCAGGAUGUAUUUAUUGAUGGAGAUUUCAAAGCACUUCUGUUGCUCUGGAUAAGGGCAUAUGCCAAAUGCUAUAAAUGUAAAUGUCAAUGAUUUAAGAUAGCAAAUUAUCAAAUAAAAUUAGACUUUUGUAUGUGA